ensembl:lncRNA
GGACUAAAGGGGAGAAUUAGGGAGGAGAAAGGGCGGUGUCUGGAGGACUAAAGGGGAGAGUGAAGGGGAAGGAGGGGCGGAGACUGGAGGACUAAAGGAGAGAAUGAGGGAAGAGGAGAGGAACAGUGUGAUUGGUCUAACGUGUAUCCACAUUUCAAACUUCGCCUGUGCAAUCAGAUGCUUGUAAUCAGAAACACCUGGCUGUAAUCAGGCGUAUGAACGUGCAUUGUGUUCUGCAUCCUGAUUGGCUAAGGGACUUGCCGUGUCUCCUGUACAGUACAGAAUGUGUUCAGUCAAACUUACAUCACACUUCAGAGCCACAGUGUGACUCUGAAGUGCUGUAUGCUUGCACAUUUUCUCCCCAACAAAACCCACAAUGUCGAUGAAACGUUCUGCACUGACAUAUCUCAGAAACGCUUUGGACUUAAGUGUUUCUCUGCACGGAGAGAUGCCUCUGUGGGUAACACUGGAGCAGAAGCACGUGAACAACAAGCGAUCAUCGAGGAAGAGGGAUAUAAUAUAUGAAGGUUUAAACUUUGAGAGUGUUUAAACAAGAGACAAUUGUGAGGAAAUGCUAAUGCCUGUUUAAGAAAAGUGUAUAAAGUGAGGGUUUUUACAGCCUUUAAACAUAUAACUAUAACUGUAAAAAAUAAAGCUGACGCAGAUUUCGCCUAUUGCAGGCUAUUUUUAAAACGUAACCCCCGCGAUAAACCAGGGGGUUAUGUCAAAGUCAAAUGAAUAAUACAUGGUUUUCAUUACAUUUUAAAACAACUUAUUAGUAUCAGUAUUGGAUCAGUAUUGUGAUGAUUCUUGCUACUGUACUUCUUGAUGUCGGCUUGACAAAAAACCCCAUUAUCAUCACUGAUAAUGGGCUAUCACGCUGUUCAGGGAAGCUUUUGUCAUGUUUUUUUUCAGUGCUAAUACUUGAACAAAUGUAUUUAAUAUUGUACUAGUUUUAAUAUUGAUUAGUUUCGGGGUAUCAAUACUUUCACAACCUUAAAAAUGAAUUGUGAUAAAAAAUGAUUAAACUGAUUAAAAUUUGCC